rnacentral:rRNA from 1 species
AGCGCAGGCGGGAAGACAAGUUGGAAGUGAAAACCAUGGGCUCAACCCAUGAAUUGCUUUCAAAACUGUUUUUCUUGAGUAGUGCAGAGGUAGAUGGAAUUCCCGGUGUAGCGGUGGAAUGCGUAGAUAUCGGGAGGAACACCAGUGGCGAAGGCGGUCUACUGGGCACCAACUGACGCUGAGGCUCGAAAGCAUGGGUAAGCAAACA